rfam:Jatropha curcas cultivar GZQX0401 scaffold906_27, whole genome shotgun sequence.
GCUGGAGAGUUCCAAAGGGAUCGCAUUGAUCUAAUGUGUAUUAAAUAUAUAUUAGUGAGUUAAUUAUUCAUUGGAUCAUGCGAUCCCUUAGGAAUUUUCCAU